UUCUUGUGUGGGAAAGUAGGUCGCCGCCAGGG
rnacentral:rRNA from 1 species